rnacentral:rRNA from 1 species
CCUACGGGGUGCAGCAGUGGGGAAUAUUGCAAAAUGGGGGAAACCCUGAUGCAGCGACGCCGCGUGAGUGAAGAAGUAAUUCGUUACGUAAAGCUCUAUCAGCAGGGAAGAAAUACUGACCUUACGGUCAGCAGACGGUACCUGAGUAAGAAGCCCCGGCUAACUACGUGCCAGCAGCCGCGGUAAUACGUAGGGGGCAAGCGUUAUCCGGAUUUACUGGGUGGAAAGGGAGCGUAGACGGUGCGCCAAGUCUGGAGUGAAAUGCCGCAGCUUAACUGCGGAACUGCUUUGGAAACUGGCGAACUAGAGUGCGGGAGGGGUAAGCGGAAUUCCUAGUGUAGCGGUGAAAUGCGUAGAUAUUAGGAGGAACACCGGUGGCGAAGGCGGCUUACUGGACCGUAACUGACGUUGAGGCUCGAAAGCGUGGGGAGCAAACAGGAUUAGAUACCCUAGUAGUC